AGCCAAGAUGAUGCAAAAGCUCUCUAGAAAAUCUAUGCUGUGGAUGAUGAGCCGACCUAGAUGCCAGAUGACCUAGGUGAGGGCCCGACUCUACUAGUGACAGCGACAUCAUCUCAGGCAAGUCAGUUGUUCUAGAUCUUUUUAUUUUUAGUUGUUCUAGAUCUUAAUUUUACUGUCUUUAAAACUAGGAAAAACAAAAUUAUUAUUUACUUUUUUUUAAGACAACAAAAUAUCUAAAUCACCUUUCUAAGGAUCCAGCCUUGGUGAACAUAUUUUCCAAACCAAACUUUCAAGUACAUGCUCAGAAAAGAUUUUGGGACUUACGGAAUUAUUUCUGUAAAAAUUCUUACCAAGAAGUAAGCAUUCAUCACAUUUGUUUAUAGAUCUCCUAAAUCUUCUUUAAUCGAAAACAAUAAAAACAGCCCCAAGUUAAGACUAUUGCAGAAAAUAGGGGACUUUGGUGCAUUAUUUCUUCACUAGAGAAACAGUAAAACAAAAACAAAACCCCACAAAGUUGCAGAAGACCCAUUUUGUGCCUCUUGUUUGCCAUCACAGCCCCAGAUCAUCAUCAUCCACUGACAUCCCCACAUUCAUUCUGCAGACAGCCCUGGACACAGUCCUUCCUGACCACAACUCAAGUCAUCCUGGAGAACUCUCAGCAAAUGCACGUUAUAACCACUGCCCGCAUCAUGUGCCAACAACACCAUAAGCCGUGUUCUUGAGCCUCAGCCGAACUCCUAUAAUCCUCGAGCCAGAGCGCUGCACCGAGCACUGGGAACCCACAUGCCUUAAGGUGCUCAUCACCGCCAAGGCUCAGAAGAGAGCUUCUGCCCCCCCCCCCCCCCCCCGGCCCGGGCCAUCAAUUAACUUUAUUUGGGCCCCCCCCCGUGGUCCCACCCCCCCGGAGGAACUACCUGGUGGACCACACCAAC
rnacentral:lncRNA from 12 species